UCCUCCCCUCCUACUCGUGGAGUUGUUGUGUCCAUCUACUACCCAGUACGCCUGAUCCAUGAGGCAGAGGCAGAUAAGGAUUGACAGUCUGAGGUUAUUAUAGUUAUGCAGAAAAUUGUCACGGCUCUGCUUCAUCCUGAUGGUGCGUGGUUCAGAAAAGUGUUGCGGCUCUGCUUUUGUCUGAUGGUGCUUGGGCCAGGACAGAACAC